UACGUAGGGGGCAAGCGUUAUCCGGAUUUACUGGGUGUAAAGGGAGCGUAGACGGAAUGGCAAGUCUGAAGUGAAAUCCCAGGGCUCAACCUUGGAAUUGCUUUGGAAACUGUUAAUCUAGAGUACUGGAGAGGUAAGUGGAAUUUCUAGUGUAGUAGUGAAAUGCGUAGAUAUUAGGAAGAACACCGGAGGCGAAGGCGGCUUACUGGACAUGUACUGACGUUGAGGCUCGAAAGCGUGGGGAG
rnacentral:rRNA from 1 species